CGGUACGCGUAACACGUAGGCAACCCUGCCCCUAAAGUGGGGGGAGUAACAGUCCGAAAGGACUGCUAAUACCGCAUACGGUUUAAUGGAGGCAUCUUCAUAAAACUAAAGGUUUACUGCUUUAGGAUGGGCUUGCGGCCUAUCAGCUAGUUGGUGAGGUAAUGGCUCACCAAGGCGACGACGGGUAGCUGGUCUGAGAGGAUGUCCAGCCGGAUUGGGACUGAGAUACGGCCCAG
rnacentral:rRNA from 1 species